rnacentral:rRNA from 1 species
CUCGGCAACGGAUAUCUCGGCUCUCGCAUCGAUUGAGAACGUAGCGAAAUGCGAUACUUGGUGUGAAUUGCAGAAUCCCGUGAACCAUCGAGUCUUUUAACGCAAGUUUCGCCCGACGGCAUUCGGCUUAGGGGACCUUUUCCUGGGUUUUACGG